GGAUCCGACUUUGAUCAUGGCUCAGGAUGAACGCUAGCUACAGGCUUAACACAUGCAAGUCGAGGGGAAACGACAUCGAAAGCUUGCUUUUGAUGGGCGUCGACCGGCGCACGGGUGAGUAACGCGUAUCCAACCUGCCCACCUCUUGGGGAUAACCUUGCGAAAGUAAGACUAAUACCCAAUGACGUCUCUAGAAGACAUCUGAAAGGGAUUAAAGAUUUAUCGGUGAUGGAUGGGGAUGCGUCUGAUUAGCUUGUUGGCGGGGUAACGGCCCACCAAGGCUACGAUCAGUAGGGGUUCUGAGAGGAAGGUCCCCCACAUUGGAACUGAGACACGGUCCAAACUCCUACGGGAGGCAGCAGUGAGGAAUAUUGGUCAAUGGACGAGAGUCUGAACCAGCCAAGUAGCGUGCAGGAUGACGGCCCUAUGGGUUGUAAACUGCUUUUAUAAGGGAAUAAAGUGAGUCUCGUGAGGCUUUUUGCAUGUACCUUAUGAAUAAGGACCGGCUAAUUCCGUGCCAGCAGCCGCGGUAAUACGGAAGGUCCGGGCGUUAUCCGGAUUUAUUGGGUUUAAAGGGAGCGUAGGCCGGAGAUUAAGCGUGUUGUGAAAUGUAGAUGCUCAACAUCUGCACUGCAGCGCGAACUGGUUUCCUUGAGUACGCACAAAGUGGGCGGAAUUCGUGGUGUAGCGGUGAAAUGCUUAGAUAUCACGAAGAACUCCGAUUGCGAAGGCAGCUCACUGGAGCGCAACUGACGCUGAAGCUCGAAAGUGCGGGUAUCGAACAGGAUUAGAUACCCUGGUAGUCCGCACGGUAAACGAUGGAUGCCCGCUGUUGGUCUGAAUAGGUCAGCGGCCAAGCGAAAGCAUUAAGCAUCCCACCUGGGGAGUACGCCGGCAACGGUGCAACUCAAAGGAAUUGACGG
rnacentral:rRNA from 1 species